GUCUUAUCUAAACCUUAUAAUAUGUGGUUGGAUGGAUAUAGAAAAGUGUGAUGAUCUCUCUCUAAUACGCAGCUCUUCUUAAGUUUUAUCUAUGUGAUUAUAUAUUAUCUAUAACAAAAAUUGAGAUUUUGAGAAAAAUUUUGUUUUUGAGGAAUAAAAUACAUUGGACGACGUCGUUGGGUUCUUGCUAAGACGAGAGCAUUCUUAAUCCUCGGAGCAGGCAGUUUGUGUGGCAACAAUAGCAGAGGGCGAGAGUUGAGAGAGAAUGGUAGCGCUACUUGACCACUUCACAUCUUCCCACCCACUUAUCAGACCCCAACUCGGCUUUCCUAACUAUAAUUCCAAGAAGUGGAUUCAGGGAGCUGGUCGUUUGUGGAUUGUGAAUAAUUCUAGAUAUAUAAGAAUGCGUGUUGUGGGCAGUAAAGCCCCCAAGGAUGUUAAUCUUGUAGAUGGUAAAAGGCUUUAUCUUGGAAUGGAUUUUGGUACAUCUGGAGCUAGGUAUACCUUGAUUGACAAGGAUGGGAUUAUACGCGCGGAACAGAAGCGGGAGUACCCAAAGUACAUGAGCAAGGACGUCAUAGAUUGGGUUCAUUCAUGGAAAUUGACACUUUUUCAACUUCUUGAAGACAUUCCAAACGAAUUUCGAGCACUUAUUGCUUCGAUUUCCAUUGAUGGAACUUCUUCAACGACUAUGAUUAUAGACAGCACAACCGGAGAACCAUUAUGUAGGCCUUUCUUAUAUAAUGAAAGUUGUCCGGAUGCAGUGUCUAUAGUUACAUCUAUUGCUCCUGUAAACCACACAGUUUGUUCCAGUACUUCUACCCUGUGCAAGCUUGUAUCAUGGUGGAACUCUUAUGGAUCGAGUAAAGAUUCUGCAGUUCUCUUACAUCAAGCAGAUUGGUUAUUGUGGCUUCUUCAUGGCAAGCUUGGAGUGUCUGAUUACAAUAAUGCUUUGAAGGUUGGUUAUGACCCUGAGCUUGAAUCGUAUCCACCAUGGCUGCUCUCUCAGGCAUAUUCAUAUGUUUUACCUUCUGUCCAAGCUCCAGGAACUUUCAUUGGUUUGGUUAAAGAAGAUGUUAGAACAAGAUUUGGCUUACCAAAGGAUUGUGCUAUCUGCACUGGUACUACUGACAGCAUUGCUGCAUUUCUUGCUGCACGUGCUACUCAAACAGGAAAAUCUGUAACAUCUCUGGGCUCAACACUUGCUAUCAAACUCCUAAGCACUAAUAGAAUAGACGAUGCACGGUAUGGGGUAUAUAGCCAUCGGCUUGAUGAUAAAUGGCUUGUCGGAGGUGCUUCAAAUACAGGAGGAGCAGUCCUCAAGCAAAUAUUUACCGACGAGCAGCUGAAGAAUCUAAGCGAGCAGAUUGAUCCGAUGAAAGUUUCCCCAUUAGACUACUACCCUCUCCAAACAGUGGGAGAAAGAUUUCCUGUAGCAGACCCAAAGUUAGCACCCAGUUUGUCUUAAAAAGAAGAUUCUACGCCUAACUGCUAUGAAGUAAACAAUUUAAUGUCAAAUCACGAUCAGAAUCUGCUCUUUCUAGACGUAUUCCGCCUGUAAGGAUAAUGUUCAAUAAGAAUCGCGGACCUCCAUUAGGAUGCAAUGAAACCAUACAUCAGUUUUUUUAUUUCCCAACAUUCUAAAUAACAAGGCUAGAUGGACAAAAAAGAAUAAAGACAGAGUGUACGCUUGGUGACUACUGACUAGUAUCACAGCUUCGGUAGCCAGCUCUCCUGUCAUCAGGUCACGGAAGUCUGCACAUGUACAUCAUGAAUGUUAACUCCCCGCCCAAAAAGUGAUGUGGACUACUUGCAUGGAAUUUUAGAAUCUAUUGCACGCAUAGAGGGAGAGGGUUAUAAAUUGUUGACGGAUUUAGGGGCAACCCCAGUUGAAGAAGUGUUGACAGCAGGGGGUGG